GGACCCGUAGCUCAGGGGUAGAGCAGGAGCCUUUUAAGCUUCGUGUCGUGGGUUCGAUUCCCACCGGGUCCUCCA
rnacentral:tRNA from 3 species